UACGAAGGGGGCUAGCGUUGUUCGGAUUUACUGGGCGUAAAGCGCACGUAGGCGGAUUGUUAAGUCAGGGGUGAAAUCCUGGAGCUCAACUCCAGAACUGCCUUUGAUACUGGCAAUCUUGAGUCCGGAAGAGGUGAGUGGAACUCCUAGUGUAGAGGUGGAAUUCGUAGAUAUUAGGAAGAACACCAGUGGCGAAGGCGGCUCACUGGUCCGGUACUGGCGCUGAGGUGCGAAAGCGUGGGGAGCAAACAGG
rnacentral:rRNA from 1 species